rnacentral:rRNA from 1 species
UACGGAGGGUGCGAGCGUUGUUCGAAAUUAUUGGGCGUAAAGCGCGCGCAGGCGGCUCUCUAAGUCCAUGGGUAAAAGGCCGGGGCUCAACCCCGUGUACGCCCAGGAUACUGGGGAGCUGGAGACACGUAGAGGCAAGCGGAAUUCCGGGUGUAGCGGUGGAAUGCGUAGAGAUCCGGAAGAACACCGGAGGCGAAGGCGGCUUGCUGGGCGUGAUCUGACGCUGAGGCGCGAAAGCGUGGGGAGCGAACAGG